rnacentral:rRNA from 1 species
UACGGGGGGGGUAAGCGUUGUUCGGAAUUACUGGGCGUAAAGGGCUCGUAGGCGGCCAACUAAGUCAUACGUGAAAUCCCUCAGCUUAACUGGGGAACUGCGUGUGAUACUGGAUGGCUUGAGUGUAGGAGAGGAAUGCGGAAUUCCAGGUGUAGCGGUGAAAUGCGUAGAUAUCUGGAGGAACACCGGUGGCGAAGGCGGCAUUCUGGACUACAACUGACACUGAGGAACGAAAGCCAGGGGAGCAAACGGG